UUUGCCUCCAAAACUGCUGGGAUUACAGGCUACAUGUUCGACUUUGAUCCCAGAUCAGCAGCUCUGCUCAAUGCCAAGAGGGUGCUGGGCCCCGUGGGGACAGACGGGGGGAAGAAGUUUCGCAGGGACAGGAGGACCCAGGCAGAGACUGAAGAGGGGAAAACCCAAACAGAAAAACUUUAGGACACCCGCUGCAGCUGCAUGUGUAAACCUGAAAGUUGAAGUGAUGGGGAAGAUGUAGAAUUGCUUUGGCCUUUUCUCUGGGUCCUGCUGGUCUGUGGUCUGCCGAUGGUAACCUCUCCUCACCUUCCAGCCCAACUGGGAUGUAUCUUUCAGACGCUGCAGGGCUUGGCGGAAGAUCUGAGCCAUUUGCCUGGACGUUCUCCAUGCUAUUGUGAUCGGCCUCAUCUGUCUGAAACCUUGCUGACCCCGGCUUAUCUGGUGUUGGACCAAAUGACCCUGGAGUCUCUGCAUCUUCUUCAGGGUGACCUGUGCAUGUCUGCUAUCCCUGCCCCUGCCAGCCGUAGGCUGACCUCCACCUGACCCUCAACUGCAUGGGCCCUGAUGAGUCACAGGCUCCCUUCACAGAAGGAAGGUGGAAAAAGCUCACGUGAACGUUGCUUUCCUGUCCUUGGACUUCUGACAUCCCUCGGGCCAGCCCUCAGCAGUGAGCCAACCCGCAAGUCCUGCUCAGGAUCCAGUGGGAAGGCAGCUGUCCUCUUGGAUGAUCCUGGCACCAUAUUGGAAGGAGUCCAUCUGUGGAGGCCAUCAGAGAUUUGAUCACCUCAGCUGUUGUUCAGCUCCUCCGGGGACUGGGGGAAUUUUCGUGCCAUUGGUGUUGACAAUGACAUAAUCCUAGCUCUAAGUCGUCUAAGUGUGUUUCUCCACAGAUACACAUCAAGUACUAGGUGGUGCCAUUCUGUCCCACACAACUGUACAAUAAGUCUUCUCAAAGGCUGAGAAGACUCACCAUACAGAGCUUCAUUCCUUGAAACCCUAAGCUGGAACCCUGAAACCUUAUUUUUUCUUUCAGCUACCAUAAGGCUGAAAUUAACCAUAGCCUUCCCAAGGAUUGGUUUCUUCUCAAAGAGUUUUAACUUAUAAAUAGGACCAAAGAUUUUAAAAAUACAAAUGUUUGUCAUUAAAUGAAGUCAUGCAAGUGAAAGUGCCUAGAAUAGUACUUGGCUCAUAGCUGGUACAUGGGAAAGUCUUGUUUUCCACCUCCAUGUACUCCAGACGCAGCUUAGAAAAUCAGGUAACUUGGCCGGGCUCGGUGGCUCAUGCCUAUAAUCCCAGCACUUUGGGAGGCUGAGGCAGGCGGAUCACGAGGUCAGGAGUUUGAGACCAGCCUGGUCAACAUAGCGAAACCCCAUCUCUAUCAAAAAACAAAAAAUUAGCUGGGCGUGGUGGCGGGCACCUGUAAUCCCAGCUACUUGGGAGGCUGAGGUGGGAGGAUCGCUUGAUCCUGGGAGGCAAAGGUUGGAGUAACCUAUGAUCACACCACUGCACUCCAGCCUAGGUGACAGAGUGAGACCCUGUCUCAAAAAAAAAAGGCAGAGCUGAAUAAGACCGUUACUGUCACAGGGCUUUCUUCAAUAAAUGCUAGUCACUAUUUUGUUUGUUUGUUUGUUUGUUUGUUUUUGAGACGGAGUCUGGCUCUGUGACCCAGGCUGGAGUGUAGUGGCAUGAUCUCAGCUCACUGCAACCUCCACCUCCCAGGUUCAAGUGAUUCUCCUGCCUCAGCCUCCUGAGUAGCUGGGAUUACAGGUGCCCACCACCACACCUGGCUAAUUUCUGUAUUUUUAGUAGAGACAAGGUUUCGCUAUGUUGGCCAGGCUGGUCUUGAAAUCCUAACCUGAAGUGAUCCUCCUGCCUCGGCCUCCCAAAGUGCUGGGAUUUCAGGUGUGGGCCACUGUUCCGGCACUUUUUUUUUUUUUUUUUUUUUUUUUGAGGCAGGGUCUCGCUCUGCCACCCAGUGGCAGUGACUGGAGGGCAGUGACUGGACAUGGCUCACUACUACAGUCUCUAUCUCCUGGGCUCAAGCAAUCCUCCUGCCUCAGCCUCCCAAGUAGCUGGGACCACAGGCAUGUACCACCACGCCCAGCUAAGCCACUAUUAUUAAUAAAUGUUUGCCUUAGAACAAAA